rnacentral:rRNA from 1 species
CCUACGGGAGGCAGCAGUGAGGAAUAUUGGUCAAUGGCCGAGAGCCUGAACCAGCCAAGUCGCGUGAGGGAAGACGGCCCUACGGGUUGUAAACCUCUUUUGUCCGGGAACAACACGCUCCACGUGUGGGUCACUGCGAGUACCCUACGAAUAAGCAUCGGCUAACUCCGUGCCAGCAGCCGCGGUAAUACGGAGGAUGCGAGCGUUAUCCGGAUUUAUUGGGUUUAAAGGGUGCGCAGGCGGGCGUGCAAGUCAGCGGUAAAAUUGCGGGGCUCAACCCCGUACUGCCGUUGAAACUGGAUGCCUUGAGUGCACAAGAGGCAGGCGGAAUGCGUGGUGUAGCGGUGAAAUGCAUAGAUAUCACGCAGAACUCCGAUUGCGAAGGCAGCAUACCGGCGCGCGACUGACGCUCAUGCACGAAAGCGUGGGUAUCGAACAGGAUUAGAUACCCUGGUAGUC